rnacentral:rRNA from 1 species
AUUGAACGCUGGCGGCAGGCCUAACACAUGCACGUCGAGCGAGCGGCGGACGGGUGAGUAAUGUAUGGGGACUGCCCGAUAGAGGGGGAUAACUACUGUAAACGGUAUCUAAUACCGCAUACUAUCGGAUAACCCAUAUGUGAUUAGCUAGUAGGUGAGGUAAUGGCUCACCUAGUCGACGCUCCCUAGCUGAGAUGAGAGGAUGAUCAGCCACACUGUGACGGAGACACGGCCGGUACUCGUACGGAGGCAGCAGUGGGGAAUAUUGCACAAUGGGCGCAAGCCUGAUGCAGCCAUGCGGCGUGUAUGAAGAAGGCCCUAGGGUUGUAAAGUACUUUCAGUCGGGAGGCGUUACCGACAGAAGAAGCACCGGCUAACUCCGUGCCAGCAGCCGCGGUAAUUC